rnacentral:sRNA from 1 species
AUGCGAUGAGUCGAUUAUGGUUUUUAAACAUAUUUGCGCUGGGGGAGAUCAUUAAGGCAGAAAGCCGAUUUUGAUAACUUGUGUGAACCUCGUUAUCACGUUCUAAUAGAAUGUCCCAUAGAGCUGAGAUUUCUCAGCUCUUUUU